rnacentral:rRNA from 1 species
UACGUAGGGUGCAAGCGUUAAUCGGAAUUACUGGGCGUAAAGCGUGCGCAGGCGGUUUUGUAAGACAGUGGUGAAAUCCCCGGGCUCAACCUGGGAACUGCCAUUGUGACUGCAAGGCUAGAGUGCGGCAGAGGGGGAUGGAAUUCCGCGUGUAGCAGUGAAAUGCGUAGAUAUGCGGAGGAACACCGAUGGCGAAGGCAAUCCCCUGGGCCUGCACUGACGCUCAUGCACGAAAGCGUGGGGAGCAACCAGGAUUAGAUACC